CUGGGGAUAGCUCUGUCGGUAGAGCAUGAGACUUGUUAAUCUCAGGGUCCUGAGUUCGAGUACUGCGUUGCCAGG